rnacentral:lncRNA from 1 species
GAGAUUUAUUUUGUAUGCUCCCAGGUUUAGGCUCAGCUACAGUAUAACUGCAGGGGGUUCAUGUUUAAACUGAGCUGUAUUCCUCUGGCUGCAGGAGUGGAGCUCCGCAAAGAAAAUGCACAAAUCCAUAAAUAAGACUUGGCACGAUUUCACUGCUCUACUUAAUGCCGACAUUUGCAAGUCCUGUUUUCCCAAACCUCUUGCUUCUAAAUCCCCGCACCUGCUAAUUUCUUAAUUCUGUUUUCAGUUUAGGCUUGUGUAUUCUUAAUUAUGUUAAUGAAGGAUAAAGUAUUUAAAGUAUUAAUGUUCCACAAACUUUGAAAAGAAAACAGUUAAUAAAUACCUUACCCCUGGGUCUGCUUCCAGCACUGGAUUUGCAGACCAGUCCAGGGCAUUACUUUUGCUCCCCUAGACUCUCCAGUGGAUAUCCAGUUCUCCCUCUUGCAGCUCUUCUAACACAGAUUCACUUUUCCCUUUUCUAUCUGAUCUGUGCAGAGAAGAAGAUCUUGUAGGUUAAUGAGAAUCACCCCUGAACUGGUAAUUACCACAGCUGUCUCUGCUAGUUUUAUUUUCCUCUCUUGAUAUCGAUCUCCUCUCUCCUCCAAGGCACUGUGAAGGAUCUUUGCUUCUACUCUCUUCCAGCUGGUGCUCCCAACUUGUGUCUGGAACAUGCUGCAAAUUAUCAGGAUGCCACAGUCCUCUGUCCCCUUCUUGUCCUUCAGGCACCUCUCACAUCUCUCUGCCAGGCAGGAGCUGCUUAGAGUUAACAAAGGAGAACAGGCCAGCUGGGAAGAAAAGCCCCCCAGCCCCAGCCUGGCCCUGAGCAUCACAUCUCAAAGGAACUGCCUGAGGAAAGGACUUGUGAGUUCGGCCAUUCUGUAAGUAGGGAAAGGAAAGAGGGAAAGUAACUACGUUUGAUUUUCUUGUUUUGUUCUACAAAGAAGAAUAUGUGGCUUUUUAUUUUUUUAUAAAAGCUACAAUUCUGUUUCUAAGAUCCGAGUUUAAGAAAAACUCUUAGUCUAGAAUUUUGGUUUGCAAAGAAAGUCAUUGCAAUCCCUGUGUUAAAAAUCAUGUCCUACUAGAAACAAGCUCUACCGAAGGAAAAGGAACCAGGUGUGCAGUUUGUCUCCUUAAAGCGGUUUCUCUUUAAAAACAAAGUAAAAAUCUGUACAGGGAGACUGAGGACUAUAGUACACAUCUUCCUCGGAGAAAGCAGCGCUAUUACAUUCACAUGAGGGUGGCUCUGAGGAAGCCCGAGGGGAGGACUACAUUCCUGAUGGCUGCGUUUGUCAGCACGGGAAGAUGACCUCGAACUUCCCCGUUAAAAGUUUUGGGGGUUUUGUUUUUUUGGGAGAAAUCAAAACCUUAAAGCAGGGUAAAGAACCCGGCUGAAGGAAUGUGAAAAUGCAUCAUCUGCUUCCAAACUGACUGCCAUUGGCAUGGAUCACUGCACUCCUGAUGGCUUGGACUGUCAGACUGCCUGGCUGCCAUGUCCAGAGGAGACAGUCACUGUGCAGAGCCUGUCCUUCACUCACAGAAGGCUCUUACGUCCUAUUUUUUGUUCGUAAAAAUAGGAUGAGGUGGAGUUCAGUUUGAAAACACUGAGUGACAGAGAAUAAACAAACUAUUUUACCUUGCCCA